AUCUAGCCAAGAAGGGGGAAAACAAACAAACAGAAUGUAUUAUUCAUGCUUGCCAAAUCAGUUCUGAGUUUGGAUCAAUUCUGAGUAACAUUUCAUUUGCAAAGACACCAGCCUUUUGUCACUCUUGCUUGGGAACCUGAAACCAACUGGAAAGGGACCAAACAGGGAAGGAGGCCUCGUUCAAAGUUUGCCAACCUGACAAGGAUUCCACCCAAGCUAAGGAAUUGGCGCUCUAUAACAGGUUCAUCGCUUGUGGAUAACUUCUAAAUUCAGAAAGACUACUUGUGAAUACUACACGUGAGAAAAACCAUGGAUAAGAAUGAAUCAUCAUGUGAAUCCUUGCCUCUGUAUAUGAUAUUGAGCAAGCUGGUUGUGACCAGGGUGCUCAUGGGAAUGUACAGUACUUCAAACGUCCCCUUUUUAAUCUGACUCCCCCUUUUCUGUGUGAUCUGUUGCUGCUACCAGACCAGGGUGACCACAAAGGUAUACCGUAGUUUAUCUUAAGCAACUUUUAUGUUGUCUUUAAUUUUGAGCCUUUGACUCUUUCCCAUGUUUAACAAUGGACGAACGGCUAACAUAUGGACGAACAUUUUAUUUAGUGGCCCAGAAGACCAGCCGUAGCUCUUCUCUGAGACUUAACAGACCUCUGUCUGAAUCCCAGCCUUCCUUCUCUUCUUCCACACCUCAAUCAACCAGCGUGGUUGUUCUGUUCUUCCUCAACAACAACACCCACACUCCUAGCAUCCUUUGACCCCAUACUGGCUCAUCUUGAGAGUAAAGAAUUUUAUUUUAUGCAAUCUUGUGCAAUGCAGUCAUAAAUAAUCCCCCCUCAUUCAGUGUGUCUUGUUUACAUGGGAGUCUGUACAGAACUAGAGUCUUACAAUGCAAUUAUUUUUACUGCAUGCUAAACAGCUUUUCCUCCUUUGCUUUUUUCCAGCUGUACUUGUCUACAGCCCAAAUCCUUGUUCAAAUAAUUGUGUGCCUAAGUGGACAGUUGGGAUGGCUUUGAUGGCUGGUUCCACUGCUGAUAAAAUAAAGCGAUGGGAAAACUUUCAGCAGGGCAGUAGCAUCUCACUUUAUUAUCACCCUAUUCCGUUUUAAUGCAAGGGUGAGCCACUGUGGGCCACAGUGACUACAAUUCCCAUAAUCUCUCAUCAUUGACUAUGAUGGCUGGGGCUGAUGGAAACCAGAAGCACAAAACAUCCAGCAGUCCUGCCUCUGCAAUGGCCCCUCCACUCCCCCAUCUUCCCAAAUUGAGUGAAGUGUUCUAUCAUUAAAAUGUAAUCACCUUCAACUCAGUACACUUCAACACUGCUCCACUGGAUCGGAGCUCUCCUACAGGAGUUUCUAAGUGACAUGGAGAAGGGCCAAUGCAAUCAUCUGAAUAUGCUUUCCCUGUCAAUGAGGGGAGAAGGGAGUAACAGGGCAAGAAGCCCAUGCUUAGCUCCCUCUGCAGAGUCAAAACUGAAUUCCUGAGCAGGGCUUAAAUGUGGUGAGGGCUCCAAAGCUGGGAACAUUCAAGAGAACAUUGGACAACCAUCUAUCAGACCUACUUUGAUUUGGAUACCUGCACUGAGCAGGCGGCGGGACAUAAUGGCCUUAUAGGGCUCUUUCUAACCCCAUUAUUCUAUGAUUCUAUGUGUUGGGCCAUAGUGAUGAAAACAAGACACAGAAAUGGCUGGUUCUAGUUGCAGCUAUUGUCUCUGCUAUAGUGCCUAACCCCAGCCAUGUACUGCUAUAAACUCUCCCACGGUGUCUGCUCAUGUGUAGAAUUCCACAGGUUUGCAUUGAUCAUGGAUUUUCCCAAUCCCAAAGUAUCAGAAAUCUUUAAGAAGACAUCGAUACACACAUCAAUGAUUUUCAGCUUCAAGUACACAUAAUUAGAGCUACGGAAUAAUGUUGUGUUGCCAAUAUACUCUGGUUUCUCUACAGAUCGUAUAAAUCUUUGGCUGUGUUGCCAAGCAUAUUGUAUGGGGACUGAAGGGG